UGGGGGAUAUUGCACAAUGGGCGAAAGCCUGAUGCAGCGACGCCGCGUGGGGGAUGAAGGCCUUCGGGUUGUAAACUUCUUUUGCUCUGAACAAGGCGCACCAUGGGGAGUGUUGAGUGUAGGGGUUGAUUAGCGCCGGCUAACUACGUGCCAGCAGCCGCGGUAAUACGUAGGGCGCGAGCGUUGUCCGGAAUUAUUGGGCGUAAAGGGCUUGUAGGUGGCUGGUUGCGUCUGUCGUGAAAGCUCAUGGCUUAACUGUGGGUUUGCGGUGGGUACGGGCUGGCUUGAGUUCAGUAGGGGAGGCUGGAAUUCCUGGUGUAGCGGUGGAAUGCGCAGAUAUCAGGAGGAAUACCGGUGGCGAAGGCGGGUCUCUGGGCUGUUACUGACACUGAGGAGCGAAAGCAUGGGGAGCGAACAGG
rnacentral:rRNA from 1 species